rnacentral:tRNA from 1 species
GGGCGAGUAACUCAGUCGGUUCAGAGUGUCUGCCUUACAAGCAGAAAGUCGGGGGUUCGAAUCCCUCCUCGCCCA